GAUGAACGCUGGCGGCGUGCCUAUACAUGCAAGUCGAGCGAACAGAUGAGGAGCUUGCUCCUCUGACGUUAGCGGCGGCCGGGUGAGUAACACGUGGAUAACCUACCUAUAAGACUGGGAUAACUUCGGGAAACCGGAGCUAAUACCGGAUAAUAUAUUGAACCGCAUGGUUCAAUAGUGAAAGACGGUUUUGCUGUCACUUAUAGAUGGAUCCGCGCCGCAUUAGCUAGUUGGUAAGGUAACGGCUUACCAAGGCAACGAUGCGUAGCCGACCUGAGAGGGUGAUCGGCCACACUGGAACUGAGACACGGUCCAGACUCCUACGGGAGGCAGCAGUAGGGAAUCUUCCGCAAUGGGCGAAAGCCUGACGGAGCAACGCCGCGUGAGUGAUGAAGGUCUUCGGAUCGUAAAACUCUGUUAUUAGGGAAGAACAAAUGUGUAAGUAACUAUGCACGUCUUGACGGUACCUAAUCAGAAAGCCACGGCUAACUACGUG
rnacentral:rRNA from 1 species